rnacentral:rRNA from 1 species
UAAUUCCGGAUAACGCACAUAUGCUGGAAUGCUUUAUGCGUAAAAUGGAUUCGUCUGCCCAAGGAUGGGUCUGCGGCCUAUCAGGUAGUAGUGGGUGUAAUGUACCUACUAGCCAACAACGGGUACGGGUUGUGAGAGCAAGAGCCCGGAGAUGGAUUCUGAGACACGAAUCCAGGCCCUACGGGGCGCAGCAGGCGCGAAAACUCUACAAUGCAGGAGACUGCGAUAGGGGGACAUCGAGUGGCAUCCACCUUGGGUGCCUGUCCAACCGUCUAAAAAACGGUUGUUAGCAAGGGCCGGGUAAGACCGGUGCCAGCCGCCGCGGUAAUACCGGCGGCUCGAGUGGUGGCCGAUAUUAUUGAGUCUAAAGGGUCCGUAGCCGGCUUUGCAAGUCCCCUGGGAAAUCCAGCGGCUUAACCGUUGGGCUUUCAUGGGAUACUACAUUGCUUGGGACUGGGAGAGGUAGGAGGUACUCGGGGGGUAGGGGUGAAAUCCUGUAAUCCUCCGGGGACCACCGGUGGCGAAGGCGUCCUACCAGAACAGGUCCGACGGUGAGGGACGAAAGCUAGGGGCACGAACCGGAUUAGAUACCCGGGUAGUCCUAGCCGUAAACGAUGCCCGCUAGGUGUCACGACAGUCGUGAAUUGUCGUGGUGCCGUAGGGAAGCCGCGAAGCGGGCCACUUGGGAAGUACGACCGCAAGGUUGAA